CUCAUAGGUGCUGUGCUUGCUUCCCUUGGGGCAUCGUGCAAUCUUUGACUUGAGAUCCAGGCUCCGUCCUAGAGGAGCUUCGCUGGGACCCUGCUCCAGGACAGCCACACAGGGGGAGGGGAUGGGGGGCAGAAGGCUUAGCGGUGCAGGCCCAGCCAGCUUUCCUGUCAGACGGUGCUGCCAAGGCGGAGCCAGACAUCGGGAACAGGUUUAACCAAUUACCCGAGCGCCCCAUCUGCUGUCUGGGGUUCGUGUGAGGGUGAGUGCAUGUGAGGGUGUUUGGAGUGUCUGGGAGGGCUGUGGGCAUGCGGGCGUGCGUGCGUGAGAGUGUGACUGUGUGGGUGGGUGUGGGCGUGUGGCUGUGCAUGUGUGCUGUGCACGUGCGUGCGCAGAGUGUAGCUCCACAUCCUGGCCAUGCCCCUUCAUUUGUCCAAGACUGAAGCUAGCAGAUUCUGGUCUUCCUGCCCCCCUGAAGAACUUGGGGGGUCUCAGUGGACAACCUACCUGGCACCUCAGCUUCUUGUCACUCUCCUCACGCCUGGGAAGAAGACUUUUAAAUCACACAUUCAGAUGUCCUUUGCUGGGGUGCUCUGGCUGGCUGUUCACUCUCCCAUCCAUGUUAGAGUGUGAGCACGGGGGACACUCUGAGCCGCUCCCUCAUUCUUUCUCUGAUAGGCCCUUGUCUGGCUAUGCUUGGUUUACCAAGCCAGCAGAGGUCCAAGUCUACUCAAACCACGUCUCCACCUACUCUAUUGAGCCAGGAGGACACCAGGUGAUGGUGUGUGGUGGGGACACUCUCUGAAUCCAAGUUUCAGUCUCAGCACAACCCUCACUCUCUUUGAUAGAUCUCUUCUUGCUCCCUACAAGAGAGGCCUUAGACUGUCACCCUGCUGCGCCCCUAGUUGUCUCUGUCACUGUCAGCAGGAAACCUACUUCUUCUUUUCUUUCCUUCCUUUUUUCCUUCUUCCCUCCCCCUCUCCCUUUGGAGACAGGGUAUCUCAGGCUGGCCUCAAAUUUAAUAUAAAACUGAGGGUGAACUUGAACUCCACCUGCUGAAUGCUGGGAUCACCUCGGUGUACCACCAUGCUUAGUUUAAGUGGUGCUGGGACUUGAACCCAGGGCUUCAUGAAAUGCCGGGCAAGCACUGCCAACUCACUUACACCCCCCAAUUUCAUGACUUCCAUCUUCAGAGAGAAAAAUGAGCCUUGGAAGGAAUACCUCCACAUCACUUAGAGAAGGGACCGUUAGUCUGGGCAACAGAGGGGAGCUGACAAAAAGGAACAAUGAACAAAUCUGGGAAAGCCAUGAGAAUGUUGGAGCAUCCCUUUGUAAGACGGGAAGCCCUUAGUAACAAUGGGAAGACUGUGUAGCCCUUAGGUCUAAAGGGGCAGGAGCAGUGACCAGCAGAACCUGGAGAACCCAGACAGCAGCUACGGCCCUGGAUGGAGAGAAGUCCACAGAAGUUGGAGGGCCAGGUGCUGGGAUGACAGCAGGCAUGCGCCACCUCAAUGGGCUUCCAAGUAUGCAAGCCUAUAUAUCCAGUCCUUGCUGACGUCUCCUGACAUCUCCGCUUGGCUGUCUUCCAGAACCCUAUAAGAACU
rnacentral:lncRNA from 1 species